CCUUGCUUGCAAGGGGUACUCGAGUGGCGAACGGGUGAGUAACACGUGGGUGAUCUGCCUUGCACUUCGGGAUAAGCCUGGGAAACUGGGUCUAAUACCGGAUAGGACCAUGCUUUAGUGUGUGAGGUGGAAAGUUUUUUCGGUGCAAGAUGAGCCCGCGGCCUAUCAGCUUGUUGGUGGGGUAAUGGCCUACCAAGGCGACGACGGGUAGCCGGCCUGAGAGGGUGUACGGCCACAUUGGGACUGAGACACGGCCCAGACUCCUACGGGAGGCAGCAGUGGGGAAUAUUGCACAAUGGGCGCAAGCCUGAUGCAGCGACGCCGCGUGGGGGAUGACGGCCUUCGGGUUGUAAACUCCUUUCGCUAGGGAAGAAGCCACUUGUGGUGACGGUACCUGGACAAGAAGCACCGGCUAACUACGUGCCAGCAGCCGCGGUAAUACGUAGGGUGCGAGCGUUGUCCGGAAUUACUGGGCGUAAAGAGCUCGUAGGUGGUUUGUCGCGUCGACUGUGAAAUCCCGGGGCUUAACUUCGGGCGUGCAGGCGAUACGGGCAUAACUAGAGUGCUGUAGGGGAGACUGGAAUUCCUGGUGUAGCGGUGAAAUGCGCAGAUAUCAGGAGGAACACCGAUGGCGAAGGCAGGUCUCUGGGCAGUUACUGACGCUGAGGAGCGAAAGCAUGGGUAGCGAACAGGAUUAGAUACCCUGGUAGUCCAUGCCGUAAACGGUGGGCGCUAGGUGUGGGGGUUUUAUUUACGAUUCCCGUGCCGUAGCUAACGCAUUAAGCGCCCCGCCUGGGGAGUACGCCGCAAGGCUA
rnacentral:rRNA from 1 species